GACGUAUUCUGAAAGGGAUACUUCUUCGGACAAUAUACAAGGUGCUGCAUGGUUGUCGUCAGCUCGUGCCGUGAGGUGUCGGGUUAAGUCCCAUAACGAGCGCAACCCCUAUCAUUAGUUGCCAUCAGGUCAAGCUGGGGACUCUAAUGAAACUGCCUACGCAAGUAGUGAGGAAGUGGGGAUGACGUCAAAUCAGCACGGCCCUUACGUCCAGGGCUACACACGUGCUACAAUGGCCGGUACAAAGGGCAGCGAUACCGCAAGGUGGAGCAAAUCCCAAAAAAGCCGGUCUCAGUUCGGAUUGGAGUCUGCAACUCGACUCCAUGAAGUUGGAAUCGCUAGUAAUCGCGGAUCAGCAUGCCGCGGUGAAUACGUUCCCGGGCCUU
rnacentral:rRNA from 1 species